rnacentral:rRNA from 1 species
GACGAACGCUGGCGGCGUGCUUAACACAUGCAAGUCGAACGGUAAGGCCCUUCGGGGUACACGAGUGGCGAACGGGUGAGUAACACGUGGGUGAUCUGCCCUGCACUUCGGGAUAAGCCUGGGAAACUGGGUCUAAUACCGGAUAGGACCACUGCCUGCAUGGGUGGUGGUGGAAAGCUUUUGCGGUGUGGGAGGGGCCCGCGGCCUAUCCGCUUGUUGGUGGGGUGAUGGCCUACCAAGGCGACGACGGGUAGCCGGCCUGAGAGGGUGACCGGCCACACUGGGACUGAGAUACGGCCCAGACUCCUACAGGAGGCAGCAGUGGGGAAUAUUGCACAAUGGGCGCAAGCCUGAUGCAGCGACGCCGCGUGAGGGAUGACGGCCUUCGGGCUGUAAACCUCUUUCAGCACCGACGAAGCGCAAGUGACGGUAGGUGCAGAAGAAGGACCGGCCAACUACGUGCCAGCCGCCGCCGUAA